rnacentral:lncRNA from 1 species
ACUCAGCCAUUUUAUAGCAGCUCUUGAGCUCAGUGGAGCUGGCGUUAAACCUCAGUCGCUUUGAUCAUGACAAAUAGGAGCUGGGAAACCAAAUUCAGUGCAAAGCCACCGGCUGCCUGCGAAGCUGCUGCUUUUCCAGGGCUUGGGUACCUAUAUGGAACUGUGCUGAUGCGGUGUGGGGGCAGUCAGGGUGGGCGCUGUGCUGCAGCCAGGGCUGCUGCUGGGACGUCCUGCCCAUCUUUGCUCUUCCUCCUGCAGCACCAGAGGCUCCGCUGAUGGCACAGCUGUGCUUUGGCUCAUCCACUGUGCCUCCCUGGGUUGCAGCUGUGCAGUGGAGGUUGUCCAGACAGAGAAACUGGGGGCUGUAGGGAUGUCGUGCUGGUUUGUUCUAUGGGGGCGAUCGCCCAUGAGGAUGUUGGUGGUCCCCCAGCUCUGGAUUUGUGGCAUGGUCAGGGGGCACAGCACAGAGCCCUUGGGAUCCUGCAGCGGGGCAUGAGUGGGGCACACUCACAGAAUCAGGACAGCGCUGGCACAGGUACCCCAGGCACAGGUACACCCAGACACACCCCCUCGGUGGGGCUGCAGCUCCACUGAGCUGGGCACAGUGUGGAGGGGCUGUGUCAGGAGCAGAAGGGGUGCGAGGGAGGGAGGGUUGAGGCAGCGGCUCCCGCAGUGCCUCGCUCUACUUGCCUCGGUCCCCAGGCUCCCUUCCCUUUCCUUCCCUUUCCUUCCCCUCCGCUGCCUUUUAUGCCGCUCGCCCAAGGCUGCAGGGCCUGGGGAUCUUUCCAGUCCUCCCCAGCUGGGGUUUGGCAGCUCUAAUUUUAGGCACUUCGCAGUUUUGCUUUCUUGCUGCUCAGCCGAGGAGCAGCGCCUGUACGGGAGGCGAGCCCGGCCCUUCCCCACCGCCGCGGCUUUGUCUUUGUUUCGCUUUGGUGCCUCGGUGCUGCUGCUCGCUGCGGCCGAGCCCUUCCGGAGCUGGGGCUGACACGUGGCCGCCCAUCGGAGCUGGGGCUGCCCAGCGCUUUUGCUGCCCCACGGAGGGACCCCAGCCCCAUCCCGGCACCUCACGGUGGGCUCCGGGCAAAGCUGUGCGCGCUGCCCGCGGGCACUAACGCGCACACACCGGCUGUUAUCCUCUCUGAUUUUCCAUUACCAGCAGGAGGAGAACAGCAAAAGUUUCGUAAGGGAAGGGAAACUCCCAGAAAGAAACCAAGGGUUCACAUUGAAUGUGGAAAUUCCUGGAAAUGUGACCAGCUGCAAUCAGGAGCCGCAUCAACACAGACGAUGCUGGGAGCUGUGAGGGAAGCAUUCUCUCCAAAUCCUGGUGAAUCAGAAAUAACAUCUAAUGCUGCCCUUAAGGUUUUGUGUUCAGCCAGGAAACAAGUGGGAGCUGGAAAGGUGGACAGACUCAAUCAUUUCAUUCUGCAUCGUGUCAAACUACCACUUACCUUACCAGAUAUUUUGUGGAAGCCCUGCUGGUCUCAGCCCGUAGGUUUGAGGCUGUAG